GUACUGUCCAGGAUUGAACAAAUUAAGGAGAGUCCAACGGUCGUAUUUCUCCUCCAUUUUCUUGGUUUCGCUGUUCUCACAGUAUCUUUGCAAGAGUGAACCCAAAAAAAAAAAAAAAAAUUCCUUUAGACACAGAAAGAAAGAUAGAGAGCAUCAUCGUCGGGUAGAAAAGGCAAAUGGUGGUCGAAUCGAAGCGAAGCUAUGAGGAAUGCCGUCGACAGAGGUUGGAAGAGAACAAGAAGCGAAUGGAGGAGCUCAAUCUGGGCAAGCUCGCUCAAGCUCUCAAGGCCGCGAGCCCUAAGACCUUUCCGGUGAAGCAGGUGAAGCGGCCUAGGCAGCUACUGGACCUCUCGUCGGUACGGGUGAGAAGGUCAAGCCGUGUCUCUGGCAAGCCCCCUCCGACUUACAAGGAAGUCCCAAUUGAACCUUUGGCGAGGCCCAGAAGCUAUCAGCGGAGAGAUCUGUUAAACCGAUUUUAUGCUUCGGAUCAAGCAAGGCAAGAUGCGAUUGAGAGAGCAGAACAAGUUGAGUCCGGUUUGGGAUCUGACUUCCCCACGUUUCUGAAGCCCAUGCUUCAGUCACACGUCACCGGUGGAUUUUGGUUGGGUCUUUCAGUCCAGUUCUGCAAGAUGCACCUUUCCCAUAAGGACGAAAUUAUCACUUUAAUAGAUGAGAGUGGAAAUGAGUUCCCAACAAGAUAUCUUGCUCGGAAAACUGGUCUUAGCGGUGGCUGGAAAGGGUUCGCCGUUGAUCAUCAACUAGUUGAUGGGGAUGCAUUGGUGUUCCAGUUAAUUAAGCCCACUAAAUUUAAGGUGAGUAGUUGGAUUCUGGUUCCAAUGCCCGUUUGGUACCCAUAAGUGCUUUGAAGCAUCUAUGCAUGUGGGCCGACCUACUCCAAUUAAACACGACAAAUGUUGUGGUAUAUGCCAAUGUUGAUAAUUGUGGUGUUCAUCAUUAGGGCAUCUGAGUUAACAGAUAAUGAAGACGAUGACAAGGAUUCAGAUGUCUUGCACAUGGACAGGAGUGCCAAAAGAAUCAAAGCCGGCAGAAAGUAGACUUCAUACUUGAUGAUCUUACUGGAAUUUCGCCCUUCUUUUGCUCCUAGAAAACUGUGCGUUACAGGAAUAGAAUUUUGCAAAUUCCUCUGCAAUGUACUAACAUUAGGUUCGUCAUUCCUGAGGUUUUUGAUUUUCUCCAAGUUAGCUUAGAAUGUCAUUUUUUUGUGUACUUGGGAUUUAGGAGUAGCUUUGCAGCAGUCCUUUCAAAAUGUAUGCGCUUUUUCAGUUAGCCCGCUGUAUUACUUAAAUGUAUCAUAAUAGCAAUGACUUUUUCUAUA